GACGAACGCUGGCGGCGUGCUUAACACAUGCAAGUCGAACGGAAAGGCCCAGCUUGCUGGGUGCUCGAGUGGCGAACGGGUGAGUAACACGUGGGUGAUCUGCCUCUAACUUCGGGAUAAGCUUGGGAAACUGGGUCUAAUACCGGAUAGGACAAUCGUUUAGUGUCGGUUGUGGAAAGUUUUUUCGGUUAGGGAUGAGCCCGCGGCCUAUCAGCUUGUUGGUGGGGUAAUGGCCUACCAAGGCGUCGACGGGUAGCCGGCCUGAGAGGGUGGACGGCCACAUUGGGGCUGAGAUACGGCCCAGACUCCUACGGGAGGCAGCAGUGGGGAAUAUUGCACAAUGGGCGCAAGCCUGAUGCAGCGACGCCGCGUGGGGGAUGACGGCCUUCGGGUUGUAAACCUCUUUCGACAGGGACGAAGCUUUGGUGACGGUACCUGUAGAAGAAGCACCGGCUAACUACGUG
rnacentral:rRNA from 1 species